rfam:Clostridium bartlettii CAG:1329 genomic scaffold, scf58
AAGAUAGUAUUUAACAAACUAUACUUUAUCUGAUUUAUAUAAAAAUCUUCUAAAAAUAACUUGCUUAUAUACAUAAGUAAUAAGACGAAUGU